rnacentral:rRNA from 1 species
AUUCCAGCUCCAAUAGCGUAUAUUAAAGUUGUUGCAGUUAAAAAGCUCGUAGUUGGAUUUCGGAACCGGCCGAUUGGUCCGUCCUCUGGAUCGUGUACUGAUCGGUCUGUUCUUCUUCGCGAAGACCACGUGUGCCCUUAACUGGGUGGGCGUGGGAUUCGCGACGUUUACUUUGAAAAAAUUAGAGUGUCCAAAGCAGGCAUUCGCUUGAAUAUCUCAGCAUGGAAUAAUAGAAUAGGACUUUGGUCUUAUUUUGUUGGUUUCCGAGACCGAAGUAAUGAUUAAUAGGGACAGUUGGGGGCAUUCGUAUUUCAUUGUCAGAGGUGAAAUUCUUGGAUUUAUGAAAGACGAACUUCUGCGAAAGCAUUUGCCAAGGAUGUUUUCAUCA